CAAAGCAGUAUUAUGAGAUAUUUAUGAUGUUAUUAUUUUCAUUUUACAGAUAAGAAAAUGGAGGCAAAGAGAAAUCAUGAAACCAGUCCAAGAUUACAACACUGAUGCAGCACUUUAAAUAUUGGAUGGAGGAACUUGAACUGGACAUAUAACUUUAAGAUAUGUACAUUUUGGUACAUUUAAAUCAUCUACAAUCAAAUCUCUAUUAUUUUCAUGUGGACUUAUGAGACAUUAUGAAUCAGUGCCGAUGGUAUACUGCUCAUGAAGAUACCCAUAUACUUCCAAAAUAAAAUAUGCACUUUUAUGUGGCUAAGCCCCUUCCCCUUCUAAACUGAGAAACAUAAAUCUCCAAAAUAAACAAAUAUUUCAUAGA